rnacentral:rRNA from 1 species
GACGAACGCUGGCGGCGUGGAUUAGGCAUGCAAGUCGAACGGUAUCAUCCUUUCGGGGGUGAGAGAGUGGCGAACUGGUGAGUAACACGUAGGUUAUCUACCCUCAAGACGGGGACAACCCAGGGAAACUUGGGCUAAUACCGGAUGUGAGCAACUUUUAGUUGUUUGAAAGGUGGCGUAAGCUGUCGCUUGGGGAUGAGCCUGCGUCCUAUUAGUUAGUUGGUGAGGUAACGGCUCACCUAGGCAAUGAUAGGUAGGCGGCCUUAACGGGUGGUCGCCCACACUGGGAUUGAGAUACGGCCCAGACUCCUACGGGAGGCAGCAGUCGAGAAUAGUCUACAAUGGUCGAAAGACUGAUAGUGCGACGCCGCGUGAACGAAGAAGCCCUUCGGGGUGUAAAGUUCUUUUAUAUGUGAGCAGUGGGUUCCAUAUGAAUAGUAUGGGAUCAGAGAUAUUAGCAUAUGAAUAAGCAACGGCUAACUCCGUG